GGGGCUGUGGCUCAGUGGUAGAGCAUCUGCUAUGAAUGCAGAUGAUCUCAGGUUCAAUCCCUGACAUCUCCA